rnacentral:rRNA from 1 species
CCCUUAGAUGUUCUGGGCCGCACGCGCGCUACACUGAUGCAUUCAACGCGCCUAUCCUUGACCGACAGGUCCGGGUAAUCUUUGAAUCUGCAUCGUGACGGGGAUAGAUUAUUGCAAUUAUUAAUCUUCAACGAGGAAUGCCUAGUAGGCGCAAGUCAUCAGCUUGCGUCGAUUACGUCCCUGCCCUUUGUACACACCGCCCGUCGCUCCUACCGAUUGGGUGUGCUGGUGAAAUGUUCGGAUCGGCCGUUUGUCGCGGUUUCCGCGUCAUGUGGCUGAGAAGUUCAUUAAACCCUCCCACCUAGAGGAAGGAGAAGUCGUAACA